AUGGUUGCAUGUGAUUUUGAUAAUCAUUUCGUCCAUAUUAGUAGCGGAUGGGAAGGUCCAGCUUCUGAUGCUCGAGUGCUACAAUAUGUUCUUCAAAAUAAUUUCUAUGUCCCUGAAGGAAAGUUUUAUUUGGUGGAUGCGGGUUAUGCGAAUACGCCUAACUUCAUCGUCCCUUAUCGCAAUGUAAGGUACCAUUUGGUGGAGCAAGCAAAAUGCAAUCAGCACCCACAAAACUCUCGAGAGCUAUUCAAUCUGAGGCAUGCACAACUUCGUAAUCAUGUUGAGCGUCUCAUUGGAGUACUGAAGAAGCGUUUUCCCAUACUGAAGUGUGCCUCGCAAUACCCC
rnacentral:rRNA from 1 species